rnacentral:ncRNA from 1 species
GAUAAUUGGAUUGUGGCAACGAAGCGUUCAAGUGACGUAGCUUUUUGAUUCUUCGAUGUUGGCUCUUCCAAUCAUUGAGAAGCACAAUUCGCAUAGCGUUGGAUUCUUCACCACCAGUAGGAAAGGUGAGGUAAUAGAACAAAAA